AUUGAACGCUGGCGGCAGGCCUAACACAUGCAAGUCGAACGGAGUGGCGGACGGGUGAGUAAUGUCUGGGAAACCGCCUGAUGGAGGGGGAUAACUACUGGAAACGGUAGCUAAUACCGCAUACUAUCAGAUGAGCCUAGGUCGGAUUAGCUAGUUGGUGGGGUAAAGGCCUACCAAGGCGACGAUCCGUAACUGGUCUGAGAGGAUGAUCAGUCACACUGGAACUGUGACACGGUCCAGACUCCUACGGAAGGCAGCCGUGGGGAAGAUUGGACAAUGGGCGAAAGCCUGUUCCAGCCAUGCCGCGUGUGUGAAGAAGGUCUUCGGGUUGUAAAGCACUUUAAGUUGGGAGGCGUUACCAGCAGAAUAAGCACCGGCUAACUUCGUGCCAGCAGCCGCGGUAAUUC
rnacentral:rRNA from 1 species